rnacentral:lncRNA from 1 species
GUGAUUCUCCUCUCUAGAUGUUGGACAGGUGAUUCUCGUCUCUAGAUGUUGGACAGGUGAUUCUCCUCUAGAUGUUGGACAGGUGAUUCUCCUCUCUAGAUGUUCGACAGGUGUUUCUCCUCUCUAGAUGUUGGACAGGUGUUUCUCCUCUCUAGAUGUUGGACAGGUAUUUCUCCUCUCUAGAUGUUGGACAGGUUAUUUUCCUCUCUAGAUGUUGGACAGGUGAUUCUCCUCUCUAGAUGUUGGACAGGUGUUUCUCCUCUCUCUAGAUGUUGGACAGGUGUUUCUCCUCUCUAGAUGUUGGACAGGUGAUUCUCCUCUCUAGAUGUUGGACAGGUGAUUCUCCUCUCUAGAUGUUGGACAGGU